rnacentral:rRNA from 1 species
AGAGGGUGCGAGCGUUAAUCGGAAUUACUGGGCGUAAAGAGCACGUAGGUGGUUGAAUAAGUUGGAUGUGAAAGUUCCGGGCUUAACCUGGAAAGGCCAUUCAAAACUAUUCGACUAGAGUACAGUAGAGGGUAGUGGAAUUUCCGGUGUAGCGGUGAAAUGCGUAGAUAUCGGAAGGAACACCAGUGGCGAAGGCGGCUACCUGGACUGAUACUGACACUGAGGUGCGAAAGCGUGGGGAGCAAACAGGGAUUAGAUACCCUGGUAGUCCACGCCGUAAACGAUGACAACUAGCCCGUUGGCCCGGUUAAUCCCCGGUCAGUGGCGCAGCUAACGCAUUAAGUUGUCCGCCUGGGGAGUACGGCCGCAAGGUUA